CCCUGGGUCUGCUGUUUUCCUCUGUGGAGUUAGAGGCCGCUCUGCCUCCGCUUUUGUACCCUGUCACCAGCCGGGGUGGGGACCCGGUGGAAGAACGCUGGGAAUCCGGCAGCUGGUAAUGAGCUGUGCAGUCUCCAUAAAUAUAUCACAGGGAAGAGAAUCAGGUGCCCUCCUUUACAUCCACCUAAUUCUUUGAAGCUGCCACUUUUCAACCACCAGGUGCUGAGAGGUUCCUAGGAAGGGCAACAGACCUCCAGAAGCCAAGAAAUGGUUCAGACACUUGACGAAAAUGUGUUUGGGUUGAAUUCUCCCAAGGCUUUACAGAGUGAUGUACUCUCAGCCGUCCAUUUUUCCAUGGUCCUGGGGUCAGCUGCUUGACACCAGCAUCCACAGCUGCCAUGUCUUUUCCUUGAUCCCUAGGAGUGAAAAGGACCAAUAUUUGACAUUGCUGAUGCUCCCUGUGGUAUGUUCAUGGUCAGUGUUUUUUAAUUUUGAUCUUGGGAUUUUCUUUUCUAUACUCAUUUUUAUAAAAUUUGGCUUUUCUAACCUAUCAAGACUAUUGGUUAACUAAUGAAUGCUUAGUUUUUUAAAUUUCUACUUAAGACAGUGUGCUUCUUUUUUAACCUCAGCUUUACAUGAUUUUAUUCAUUUUUACAGGUUUGAGGUAUAAUUGACAAAUACUAAUAUGCAUUUAGUUAAAGAAACAUAUUUUAUCUUUUCACCCAUAUAUGCAUCCAUGAAAUGAGCACCACAGGAAACAGUUAACAUAUCCACUAACCAAAGUUUUUUCUAGUGCCUUUCCAUGACACUUUAAUAAAUUUGAUUUUAUUGAUCAAAAGAAAAACAGGGUAAAAAUAACAAUUACAUAGCUCCACAAAAUAUCACAAAGGGAACAUACCCUACAGUUGCUACCUAGGUUAAGAAAUGCAACAUUAUCAAAGCCCAAAAGAACAUUUUCAUGCUCUCUUGCUAUCAGUGUCCCCUCUAUCCUCCUUAGUGAUAACUAUUAUUUUUCUAAUUCAGCUGUUACUCUUAGAGAAUUCUUGUAGAAUAUCUUGGUGCAUUUCUGUUCUGCAUAGUGGUAGAAUUAAGAGUUCGCAGGAUAUGCUUGGAUAUAUUCUGCCAAACCAUUUUCCAAAUUGUAUCUGCCAGUUUACACCAGCACCAAUCAUACCUCCAAUCACUUAAUAUCUUUUUGAUUGUUGUUUUAAUUUAAAAAAAAAAAUUGUUAUUUUUAUCUUUCUGGUGAGAAUGCAACAGAAUCUGCUGGUUUUAAUUUUAACUUCUCUUAUUAGUACUAAUUUGUACAUAUGUUCAUAUAUUUAUUUGUCAUUUGUAUGUUUCAUUUUUGAAGUGCCGGUUUUAAUUUUAACUUCUCUUAUUAAUACUAAUUUGUACACAUAUUCAUAUAUGUGUCAUUUGUAUGUCUCAUUUUUGAAGUUCUUUUUGAAAUCUCUUGGCUAUUCUUUUAUUGUGUUGUGCUAUCUGGUUGUUCUUUAGAAAUAAAUAAUGCCUAAUAUAUUUUGCAUCACAAGCCCUUUACUAGAAAUGUGUGCUGCAAACAUCUUUUCCCAUUUCAUCUCCUACCUUUGUACCUUUGCACGCUAUUAAUAAUAUUAUUUGAUAAACAGAAAUUUGCAAUUCUAGUGAAAUUUUAUGUGGAUUCCUUGUACUUUUUCAUUACAGUUUGUAAUAGAUAGUUAUGGUAUUAACAUGAAUAGAAAUGUCUAGCAGAUUGGUUUAACACAGUACUGGGUGUGUUUGGAUGAGUGACUUACUGAAGAGGAAAGACCCAUCCUGGUUAUAGGUGCCCCAACCAAUAGGCUUGUAGCCUUGAAGGAAUAAAGAGGGAAGAAGAAGGAAGUCUUGAUUCUGUUUCUUCAGAGAAGCUCCAGUCUUCUCUAUUGCCUUUGGACAUCUGACUCCUGGUUUCUAGUGCUAACUCUUUAGACUUCCAAGCCAGACCCUUUGGCCUCAGGAUUACGGACUGGCAUGAGACUCUGCAGUGAGCCCCAGGCCUUUGACUUUGGACCGGGACCUCUGGCUUUCCAGGGUGCAGACAGCCUUUGUGUACUCUGUCAUACCUGACUCUUCAGGAAGACAUUGUAAGCCUACGUUGUAAAUCCUCUAUGUUUUGAGUUCAUACUUAAAAACUCAACUUAUAAGAAAACUUUUGUAAUACCAAAGUCAUUAAAUUUUUUUUCCUCAAAUUUACUUUUUUGCCUUUAAGUCUGUGGAUAUUUUGUACGGUAUAACAUAGGAACAAAAAUUGUAUUAUUAUUAUUACCAGUAUAAUCUGUGGUGCUGAAGAUUGAACCUAGUGUCUUUAUAUAGAGCUACAUCCACAGACUUUUUCUUAUUUUUCCUUUUGGCACGUGGUCUCACUAAAUCAGUGAGUUAUUCAGACUGGGCUCAAGGUUGUGAUCCUCCUGGCUGAGGUUCCCACAGUGCUCAGCUUAGUUUUUUUUUCUUCUCCUUAACAGUUGUCCAUUUGACCAAACAACAUUCAUUGAAAACUUGAGAGUAGUACAGAAUAAUAAAAAUUGCAUGUAUGCAUUGCCUACCAUAUCAGGAGAUAUAUGUACAUAUUCUUUUUUCAUUAUUUCAUAAAACGUUAGUACUUAUUUUGAAUUUAAUAUACUGCUUAAAAUUAAUGAUUGCUAAUCAAAAGAUCUUUCAGAUUUGGUAACAGAUAUUUAUCUAAGUUCUUGCCCUAUAGAUUUUGCCUUAGUUAUAAAGGUCACAUUUUGCUGAACAAAUAUUGUGUGAGAAGUAAAGUCAGGUAUGGUGUCACAUAAUCCCAGCUACUUUGAACGUUAAGAGGUUAAUGCAGGAGGAUAACAAGUGUGAGACCAGCUUGGGCAACUCAGUGAGAUAUUGUAUAUAAAAAAAAAAGGUCUGGGGAUGUAGUUCAGCACAAGGUCCUGGGUUCAGUCUCCAGUGCUAAAGAAAUAUAUAAGUAAAUAAGAGAUCUAAUAAAUGUUUAGAGGAAAUACCCUCAGUGGUAAUAUUAAUAUAAUUUUAAUUUUAAAAAUAAAGGUGUAACAGAGAACUAAAUCCUGUGACCUCUGAAAUAAGAUUGGCCUCAAUGAAAUUCUCAUAUGGAUUAAAUGCAAAUUUGUUGCAAAAUACAAGUCACUCCAGGCCAGGAAGCUUAAACCACCACAGGAUUCAAUGAUUUUGGAAAACAAAAGAUGAAGUGCUCAAAUGGGAAGGUGUCUUAGAGGAGAAUGCCACACUGACCAUUCCCACAUAUUCCAGAGGAUGAGUUGGCUUGGCUUAGUGUAUUCACCAUCAAGUUCUGAGGAAGGUGGAGGCAGAAGACACAGUCGCUGAUGAUUCAGUAUUUUUAAAGUUACAGGCAGCAUUAACUCUGAGGAUCUUGAGGUAUUUAUUUAUAACUGAAAUAGAGUAUAAUGUAAAAUAGAGCAUCAGAGAUAGUCACACUCCAUAGAGCCAAAUUUUGUUUAAAAUUUGUUUCCAGCUCUCGAGAGUAUAAAGAUGUGUACUGGGAUGUAAUAUAAAAUGUAUUUCUUACAUACAUUUAAUUCCAAAGUGCUUUUAAAGCCAGGUUACUUUUACUCAUAUUACCUAUGACAUAUCUUCUGCAAAUUGUGUCUUGUUGGUAAUUUACAUAUCAUACACACCUCCCUGCUAGGAGAAAAAGUACUGGACUUGAGCUUCAUAUCUUCUUGCAUUUAUGUGUGUUUCUUAUGUUCUCCUGUGUAUCCUAUACUGCAGUUCCCCACUGCUCCAUAGUGCCAGUCCUGGAAUAAAUAAACAUUGUUCAAAGAGAACAGGUGGGGUUGGAGUUUCCAUGAUGAAAGAUGACAAUGAGGUGAAUGGAUGAAAGGAAACUCAGGUUCCUGAGAGUUGAGUAGUAAACUAGGGCCAGUGCAGGUGUCUAGCCAGUGUGGUUGCCAUACUGUCAGUAGAGCUUUCUGUUGUCUCCAUUCCAGGUCUCUUCCUUCCCUUACUAUCACAGCACCUUUCCCAGUACCUCUCCCCUUGAAAACAGAACCCUCUCUUCCUGCUUCCUUGAUCUCUGACAUGUGGCUUGCAUGAAGUUCUGGGGCUCAAGAAUGAUAGACUGCAUCAGAAACCCUCCCAGAGGCUAUUCACUAUCUGGCCACUGGCUCUUCUACUUCACUCUUAGGCUCUUCACCUGCUACAUCUCCACAUCAGCCCUUCCUCCCCUUCUUUAUGUGGCCCUUGGAGUGAUGGUUGGAUGGAGUGCCAGUCAUCACCAGAGAGCAGACAGUGAACAGAUUGGUGACAGGACAGGAAGAGAUAGUGAUGAAGUAGAGAUUAGGAUUGCUUUACAACUCUGGAGGUGGCUCUGUUAAGGACAAAUAUCUGUGUUUAUCACAUAGGCUUUGGCUGCUAAUCUGUGUACACAAAUUCUGUAAGUCACCCAGCAGGAAUCCAGUUACAUCAAUAAUAACAUUAAAUGUGAAGUUAUUAAAUUAUUCUAGCAACAGGUAAAGAUUGUGAGAUUGACAAG
rnacentral:lncRNA from 1 species